UUUGAUCCUGGCUCAGAUUGAACGCUGGCGGCAGGCCUAACACAUGCAAGUCGAGCGGCAGCACGGGAAGCUUGCUUCCUGGUGGCGAGCGGCGGACGGGUGAGUAAUGCAUAGGAAUCUGCCCGGUAGUGGGGGAUAACCUGGGGAAACCCAGGCUAAUACCGCAUACGCCCUACGGGGGAAAGCAGGGGCUCUUCGGACCUUGCGCUAUCGGAUGAGCCUAUGUCGGAUUAGCUGGUUGGUGAGGUAAUGGCUCACCAAGGCGACGAUCUGUAGCUGGUCUGAGAGGAUGAUCAGCCACAUCGGGACUGAGACACGGCCCGAACUCCUACGGGAGGCAGCAGUGGGGAAUAUUGGACAAUGGGCGCAAGCCUGAUCCAGCCAUGCCGCGUGUGUGAAGAAGGCCCUCGGGUUGUAAAGCACUUUCAGUGGGGAAGAACGCCUUCCGGCUAAUACCCGGGAGGAAAGACAUCACCCACAGAAGAAGCACCGGCUAACUCCGUGCCAGCAGCCGCGGUAAUACGGAGGGUGCGAGCGUUAAUCGGAAUUACUGGGCGUAAAGCGCGCGUAGGUGGCUUGAUAAGCCGGUUGUGAAAGCCCCGAGCUCAACCUGGGAACGGCAUCCGGAACUGUCAGGCUAGAGUGCAGGAGAGGAAGGUAGAAUUCCCGGUGUAGCGGUGAAAUGCGUAGAGAUCGGGAGGAAUACCAGUGGUGAAGGCGGCCUUCUGGACUGACACUGACACUGAGGUGCGAAAGCGUGGGUAGCAAACAGGAUUAGAUACCCUGGUAGUCCACGCCGUAAACGAUGUCGACUAGCCGUUGGGUCCUUCGCGGACUUUGUGGCGCAGUUAACGCGAUAAGUCGACCGCCUGGGGAGUACG
rnacentral:rRNA from 1 species